rnacentral:rRNA from 1 species
CGGGUGAGGAACACGUACGCAACUUUCCUUAAACCGGGCACAACCUUGAGAAAUCAGGGCUAAUUCCCCAUAACAUUGCGAGAGGGCAUCUGAUUGCAAUUAAAGAUUCGUCGGUUUGAGAUGGGCGUGCGUUCGAUUAGCUAGUUGGUGGGGUAACGGCUCACCAAGGCGACGAUCGGUAGGUGGUCUGAGAGGACGAUCACCCAGACUGGGACUGAGACACGGCCCAG